rnacentral:rRNA from 1 species
UUUGAUCCUGGCUCAGGAUGAACGCUGGCGGUAUGCUUAACACAUGCAAGUCGAACGGGAUGCUUAGGCAUCUAGUGGCGGACGGGUGAGUAACGCGUGAGAAUCUGGCUCCAGGUCGGGGAUAACAGUUGGAAACGACUGCUAAUACCGGAUGUGCCGAGAGGUGAAAGAUUUAUUGCCUGGAGAUGAGCUCGCGUCUGAUUAGCUAGUUGGUGGUGUAAGGGACCACCAAGGCGUCGAUCAGUAGCUGGUCUGAGAGGAUGAUCAGCCACACUGGGACUGAGACACGGCCCAGACUCCUACGGGAGGCAGCAGUGGGGAAUUUUCCGCAAUGGGCGAAAGCCUGACGGAGCAAUACCGCGUGAGGGAGGAAGGCUCUUGGGUCGUAAACCUCUUUUCUCAAGGAAGAAGAAAGUGACGGUACUUGAGGAAUAAGCAUCGGCUAACUCCGUGCCAGCAGCCGCGGUAAUACGGAGGAUGCAAGCGUUAUCCGGAAUGAUUGGGCGUAAAGGGUCUGCAGGUGGAACUGAAAGUCUGCUGUUAAAGAGUUUGGCUUAACCAAAUAAAAGCGGUGGAAACUACAGAACUAGAGUGCGGUAGGGGCAAAAGGAAUUCCUGGUGUAGCGGUGAAAUGCGUAGAUAUCAGGAAGAACACCGGUGGCGAAAGCGUUUUGCUAGACCGUAACUGACACUGAGGGACGAAAGCUAGGGGAGCGAAUGGGAUUAGAUACCCCAGUAGUCCUAGCCGUAAACGAUGGAUACUAGGCGUGGCUUGUAUCGACCCGAGCCGUGCCGGAGCUAACGCGUUAAGUAUCCCGCCUGGGGAGUACGCACGCAAGUGUGAAACUCAAAGGAAUUGACGGGGGCCCGCACAAGCGGUGGAGUAUGUGGUUUAAUUCGAUGCAACGCGAAGAACCUUACCAAGACUUGACAUCCUGCGAAUCCUGGUGAAAGCUGGGAGUGCCUUAGGGAGCGCAGAGACAGGUGGUGCAUGGCUGUCGUCAGCUCGUGUCGUGAGAUGUUGGGUUAAGUCCCGCAACGAGCGCAACCCUCGUUUUUAGUUGCCAGCAUUAAGUUGGGCACUCUAGAGAGACUGCCGGUGACAAACCGGAGGAAGGUGAGGAUGACGUCAAGUCAGCAUGCCCCUUACGUCUUGGGCUACACACGUACUACAAUGCUACGGACAGAGGGCAGCAAGCCAGGGAUGGCAAGCGAAUCCAGAAACCGUAGCUCAGUUCAGAUCGAAGGCUGCAACUCGCCUUCGUGAAGGAGGAAUCGCUAGUAAUUGCAGGUCAGCAUACUGCAGUGAAUUCGUUCCCGGGCCUUGUACACACCGCCCGUCACACCAUGGAAGUUGGUCACGCCCGAAGUCAUUACCCCAACCGAAAGGAGGGGGAUGCCUAAGGUAGGACU